UGAAACCUAGAAUUGGUAAUGUUAUAUUUGUUUCUUAGUGAGUAAAUGUAAAAUUGUUUUAUAUAUAGAAAGUUCAUAUAUCACUAAGUUCUUUUUGGAACACAAGAAAGGAAACAAAAGAAAUGUAGAAUCAUGUCUUUAUUUGUUUUUGAAUUGUUUUCACAAGAUACAUCUUUAGAAGUAUCAAAGCUUUUCUUAGAUGAGCUUUCACUCAACACAAAAGUUUGAAGCAAUGGUUAUUUUUCCAAGACCUAUGCAAAGAGAUCAAGAUGAGACAUAGAACACAAGUACUUUACAUUUUUCUACCUUUCUUAAGUUGCUAGUGUUCUUUGUGGUGAGCUAAACCUUUAUGUAUCUUAACAAGGUGAAGUUACUAUGUGGGCUUAAAUUGUCCUCUUUGAGAGCUUUUUGUUGGCAAUUGCUUCCUGCACCCGAUCAAUUGUGACUGGCACCCGACAAACUUUUUAAAAUCCCAUUAUGCCCUUGUCUUGCACAGAACAACAACAACACUACGGAAAAAAUUAUCCGCAAGUCAAAUGUCUCUUGUGGAUAAAAAUAUCCGGAGGCCAUUCUUCCACAACUGCGGAUAAAAAAAUCCGGAAGUCAAGUGCUCAACUAUGGAUAAAAAUAUCCAGAACCCAGUCCUGAACUGCGGAUAAAAAUAUCCGAAAUGCAAUAGUAAAUUACGGAUAAAAAUGUGCGGAGCUCAAUAAUGAAUUACGGAUAAAAAUAUCCGGUAGGCAUGACAUAGUACCUUUCUCUGACGAUGGUUUCUUCUCCGACUUCAGAAGCUGACGGUGGCGGCUGCUGCUCUGCCUACGAUGAUGAAGCUCACUGAUGGUGAAGGAAACCAAGGGAGACGACGACCGUGGAUGACGGUGGAUGACGGUGGCUAAGGGUGGCUGCGACUGGCUGCAGCUGCUGCUUCAAGCACAAAUGAACAAGAAAAAGAAUAGGGUUUGGUGCAUGAGGUUGGGUGCCUAUCACAUUUU
rnacentral:lncRNA from 1 species